rnacentral:tRNA from 1 species
GCUCCCGUCGUCUAGGGGCCUAGGACACCGCCCUUUCAAGGCGGCGGCACGGGUUCAAAUCCCGUCGGGAGCGCCA